CCUACGGGCGGCAGCAGUAGGGAAUCUUCCACAAUGGACGAAAGUCUGAUGGAGCAACGCCGCGUGAGUGAAGAAGGGUUUCGGCUCGUAAAGCCCUGUUGGUAGUGAAGAAAGAUAGAGGUAGUAACUGGCCUUUAUUUGACGGUAAUUACUUAGAAAGUCACGGCUAACUACGUGCCAGCAGCCGCGGUAAUACGUAGGUGGCAAGCGUUGUCCGGAUUUAUUGGGCGUAAAGCGAGUGCAGGCGGUUCAAUAAGUCUGAUGUGAAAGCCUUCGGCUCAACCGGAGAAUUGCAUCAGAGACUGUUGAACUUGAGUGCAGAAGAGGAGAGUGGAACUCCAUGUGUAGCGGUGGAAUGCGUAGAUAUAUGGAAGAACACCAGUGGCGAAGGCGGCUCUCUGGUCUGCAACUGACGCUGAGGCUCGAAAGCAUGGGUAGCGAACAGGAUUAGAUACCCGAGUAGUC
rnacentral:rRNA from 1 species